AAGAAGUUAGUUUAAAUAAAACAAUUAUAUGUCAUAUAAAAAUUAUAAAGAAGUUAUACUUCUUG
rnacentral:tRNA from 1 species